rnacentral:rRNA from 1 species
GCAAGUCGAGGGGCAGCAUUUCUAGCUUGCUAGAAGAUGGCGACCGGCGCACGGGUGAGUAACGCGUAUGCAACCUACCUUACAUUGGGGGAUAGCCCAGAGAAAUCUGGAUUAAUACCGCAUAAUAUAUUUGAAUCGCAUGGUUUGAAUAUUAAAACUCCGGUGAUGUAAGAUGGGCAUGCGUAGCAUUAGUUAGUUGGUGAGGUAACGGCUCACCAAGACAACGAUCAUUAGGGGUUCUGAGAGGAAGAUC